AGUAACGGCGAGUGAAGCGGCAACAGCUCAAAUUUGAAAUCUGGCUCUUUUAGAGUCCGAGUUGUAAUUUGCAGAGGGCGCUUUGGCUUUGGCAGCGGUCCAAGUUCCUUGGAACAGGACGUCACAGAGGGUGAGAAUCCCGUACGUGGUCGCUAGCUAUUGCCGUGUAAAGCCCCUUCGACGAGUCGAGUUGUUUGGGAAUGCAGCUCUAAAUGGGAGGUAAAUUUCUUCUAAAGCUAAAUAUUGGCCAGAGACCGAUAGCGCACAAGUAGAGUGAUCGAAAGAUGAAAAGCACUUUGGAAAGAGAGUCAAACAGCACGUGAAAUUGUUGAAAGGGAAGCGCUUGCAGCCAGACUUGCUUGCAGUUGCUCAUCCGGGCUUUUGCCCGGUGCACUCUUCUGUAGGCAGGCCAGCAUCAGUUUGGGCGGUGGGAUAAAGGUCUCUGUCACGUACCUCUCUUCGGGGAGGCCUUAUAGGGGAGACGACAUACCACCAGCCUAGACUGAGGUCCGCGCAUCUGCUAGGAUGCUGGCGUAAUGGCUGUAAGCGGCCCGUCUUGAAACACGGACCAAGGAGUCUAACAUCUAUGCGAGUGUUUGGGUGUCAAGCCCGAGCGCGUAAUGAAAGUGAACGGAGGUGGGAACCCGCAAGGGUGCACCAUCGACCGAUCCUGAAGUUUACGGAAGGAUUUGAGUAAGAGCAUGGCUGUUGGGACCCGAAAGAUGGUGAACUAUGCUUGAAUAGGGUGAAGCCAGAGGAAACUCUGGUGGAGGCUCGCAGCGGUUCUGACGUGCAAAUCGAUCGUCAAA
rnacentral:rRNA from 1 species